rnacentral:rRNA from 1 species
UGGGGAAUUUUGGACAAUGGGGGCAACCCUGAUCCAGCAAUGCCGCGUGUGUGAAGAAGGCCUUCGGGUUGUAAAGCACUUUUGUCCGGAAAGAAAACGCCGUGGUUAAUACCCGUGGCGGAUGACGGUACCGGAAGAAUAAGCACCGGCUAACUACGUGCCAGCAGCCGCGGUAAUACGUAGGGUGCAAGCGUUAAUCGGAAUUACUGGGCGUAAAGCGUGCGCAGGCGGUCCGCUAAGACAGAUGUGAAAUCCCCGGGCUUAACCUGGGAACUGCAUUUGUGACUGGCGGGCUAGAGUAUGGCAGAGGGGGGUAGAAUUCCACGUGUAGCAGUGAAAUGCGUAGAGAUGUGGAGGAAUACCGAUGGCGAAGGCAGCCCCCUGGGCCAAUACUGACGCUCAUGCACGAAAGCGUGGGGAGCAAACAGGAUUAGAUACCCUGGUAGUCCACGCCCUAAACGAUGUCAACUAGUUGUCGGGUCUUCAUUGACUUGGUAACGUAGCUGAACGCGUGAAGUUGACCGCCUGGGGA